rnacentral:rRNA from 1 species
CCCUUCGGGGGUGAGUAGAGUGGCGAACGGGUGAGUAACACGUGGGUAACCUGCCCCUCGCAGGGGGAUAACCGGGGGAAACCCCGGCUAAUACCCCGUACGCUUGCUGGGGCGCAUGCUCCGGCAAGGAAAGGUAGCUUCGGCCAUCCGGCGAGGGAGGGGCCCGCGGCCCAUUAGCUAGUUGGUGGGGUAACGGCCCACCAAGGCGACGAUGGGUAGCUGGCCUGAGAGGGUGGUCAGCCACACUGGGACUGAGACACGGCCCAGACUCCUACGGGAGGCAGCAGCCAGGAAUCUUGCGCAAUGGGCGAAAGCCUGACGCAGCAACGCCGCGUGGGCGAUGAAGGCCUUCGGGUCGUAAAGCCCUGUUGUCGGGGACGAAGGGCGAAGGGUUAAUAGCCCCUAGCCUGACGGUACCCGACGAGGAAGCCCCGGCUAACUACGUGCCAGCAGCCGCGGUAAUACGUAGGGGGCGAGCGUUGUCCGGAAUCAUUGGGCGUAAAGAGCGUGUAGGCGGCCCGGUAAGUCCGCUGUGAAAACCCGGGGCUCAACCCCGGGCGUGCAGUGGAAACUGCCGGGCUAGAGGGCGGCAGAGGCGAGUGGAAUUCCCGGUGUAGCGGUGAAAUGCGCAGAUAUCGGGAGGAACACCGGUAGCGAAGGCGGCUCGCUGGGCCGUUCCUGACGCUGAGACGCGAAAGCUAGGGGAGCGAACAGGAUUAGAUACCCUGGUAGUCCUAGCCGUAAACGAUGGGCACUAGGUGUGGGGGGGAGUCGAAUCCCUCCGUGCCGCAGCCAACGCGUUAAGUGCCCCGCCUGGGGGAGUACGGCCGCAAGGCUAAAACUCAAAAGAAUUGACGGGGGCCCGCACAAGCAGCGGAGCAUGUUCUUUAAUUCGAUGC